rnacentral:rRNA from 1 species
AACAAACGCUGGCGGCGUGCCUAAUACAUGCAAGUCGAACGGGGAAAGCUUUCGGGCGAGUACUAGUGGCGCACGGGUGAGGAACACGUGGAUAAUCUGCCUUGGAGAGGGGGAUAACUAGUCGAAAGAUUAGCUAAUACCGCAUAAGACCACAGGAACUGAGGUUCUAGGGGUCAAAGGUUUUUCGCUCCAAGAUGAGUCCGCGUAAGAUUAGCUAGUUGGUGAGGUAAUGGCUCACCAAGGCGACGAUCUUUAACUGGUCUGAGAGGAUGAGCAGUCACACUGGAACUGAGACACGGUCCAGACUCCUACGGGAGCCAGCAGUAGGGAAUAGUGCACAAUGGAGGAAACUCUGAUGCAGCGACGCCGCGUCAGUGAUGAAGGCCUUCGGGUCGUAAAGCUCGGUCGCAGGGGCGUAAAAAAAUGAAGGUACCCUGCAAGAAAGGAUCGGCUAACUUCGUGCCAGCCGCCGCCGUAA